rnacentral:lncRNA from 13 species
UGUACCUUAACAGAGGUAGUAGAAUUAUUACUUCUAAUAAAUUAUGGCAGAUAGAUAUUAUUAGGAGUCAGGCAACAAAACUGUCUCAGAAUGAGCUAAAAGUUUAUUAUUUGGUUUUUUUUAGAUGGAGUCUUGCUCUGUAACCCAGGCUGGAGUGCAGUGGCACGAUCUCGUCUCACUGAAACCGCUGCCUCCCGAGUUCAAGUGAUUCUCCUGCCUCAGCCUUUCGAGUAGCUGGGAUUACAGAGCAUGGAGAGAGAAGGAUGCAGAGAUGGCAAGACAGCAAUAGAAAAAUACAGCCAGGGUUGCUUGAAAAAAUGCAGAACUUUACAACACAAUGGUGCUGAUAGAGACAAGUGGCAGAGAUAUUCUGGGGAGAAAAGUACAGGGUCUUGGUGAGGACCUCACCCUCAAGCCUGGAAAGGUGGAUCAAAGUGAGAACUUUACAUCCCUGUUUUUCCACUGGAAUUUUGCCCUUUCCAAAACCACCCCUGGCUCACUCUGCCCCUCAUCCUAUACCCAUAAAAGUCUCAGGCUCCACGGCAGAGAACAGAGAAGGGGAGAAGGAAAGGCAGUUGGACAUCAGAGACUGCAGUUUGAUGUCCCAGAGAAGCAGCUUGACUUCAGAGGGAGAGCUUGACAGCUUUGCUUUUGAGAGGAAUAUGGCUGGGGACAGCUAGACUCCAAGGGAAGAUCAUCUUCCUGCUCCAUCCCCUUUUCAGCUCCCUUUCCCACUGAGAGCCACUUUCAUUGGCAAUAAAAUCCUCCAUAUUCACCA